GAUGAACGCUGGCGGCGUGCUUAACACAUGCAAGUCGAGCGAUGAAGUUUCCUUCGGGAAACGGAUUAGCGGCGGACGGGUGAGUAACACGUGGGUAACCUGCCUCAUAGAGUGGAAUAGCCUUUCGAAAGGAAGAUUAAUACCGCAUAAUGUUGAAAGAUGGCAUCAUCAUUCAACCAAAGGAGCAAUCCGCUAUGAGAUGGACCCGCGGCGCAUUAGCUAGUUGGUGGGGUAACGGCCUACCAAGGCGACGAUGCGUAGCCGACCUGAGAGGGUGAUCGGCCACAUUGGGACUGAGACACGGCCCAGACUCCUACGGGAGGCAGCAGUGGGGAAUAUUGCACAAUGGGGGAAACCCUGAUGCAGCAACGCCGCGUGAGUGAUGAAGGUUUUCGGAUCGUAAAGCUCUGUCUUUGGGGAAGAUAAUGACGGUACCCAAGGAGGAAGCCACGGCUAACUACGUGCCAGCAGCCGCCGUAAGAC
rnacentral:rRNA from 1 species